rnacentral:lncRNA from 1 species
AAAGUGACGUGAACCUCUCCUGCCAUGUUAUUAAGGGCAAGAAGUCCUUGUGAAAGCGGUUGCAUUUGCAGUUGAUGCUGUGAUUGUGGUUGUGGUGGCAGUUGAUGUGGUUGUGGUUGUGUUAGAAAAAUAGUAGAAAUUUUAUGUUGAUAAUUUUGGAUAUGAUGAAAAGCCUGANGUAGAAAAGUAGUAGAAAUUUUAUGUUGAUAAUUUUGGAUAUGAUGAAAAGCCUGAGAUGAUGGAUUAUUGACAGAAGCUUGUUGAUAGCUUAGAAUUCUGUGAAGAUCAUCAACAGUGGUUGGGAAUACCGAGGAGGACGUGGAGGCGGUUGGGGAGACCAAAGAGGCCGUAUGUAGAUGUACAUGUGGUGGAAGUGUGGUGGUGAUGGCCGGAAAUGAAGUAAUAAAGUUGUUGUAGGUAGAGGGGUUGAUAGGACUGGAGAGGCCAAGAGCGGUU